UAAUUGAAGCUUGAUCAUAAUUGAGACAAUUAUAAGGUGGAUUGAGACAAGCUGAAUAUUAAUACACGCAUAAAUAGUUAGAACUAUGUCAUCUGGACAUACACAUGUCAAGAAAUGGUCCAAAUCCCACAUAUUUUUCCUUCAUUUUUUAAAUUAUCCAUCAAUAGGGUUUUAGUUGGAAAUGAUUGAAUCAUUAGCAAAGUGCUCCAACAGCACCAGAUUAACUUAAUCCUCUGAUGUAAAUAUAGUAUCAUCCCACAGAAGGUUAUGGUAGAGCAGUAAGUAGUCUAUUAUCCUUAAGCAAUAGCUUG
rnacentral:lncRNA from 1 species